GAAAGAACUGUAAUACGUCGGCCAUUUUUGUGUGGAGAACGUAUCAAGAUGAGAUACCUUCGAUUAAACAAUGAAAAGUGAAGAUCUGAUAAUAAAACUCAAGUUAUAAAGAGAGAUCAUCCAAUAUAUUGUGGGAAAUGGCAUACAAUAAACGCUUAAAAGAACUAUGCAUCUGAAGUUUUCUUAAAUCCACACAUCUUAUGCCAUCAAUGAAACCAGAAGCGUGGGACUAAAAUGCAUAUUGUUAUUUAUCGUUAAAAUAAGCAAAUUAAUUAAAUGAGGAUGGAUUUAUGUUUUCUUGACUCAAUCCAGAAUUUAUAGGAAAAUCAUCUUCUACUGGAAGACCAGCGCCAUAUUUCGUCCAGUGUCUGAAUUUUGAAAUGAAAAUUGUUUCGAAUUCGAAACAGCAUACUCAGGAUAGAAUUCUUGUCAAAUUUGGAUACGAUUUUCCAAUAAUCCUUUCUACAGAAAGCUCUGAACACUUGCUAAUUAAUUAUGAUUACCCUAUAUAUAUAUAUAUAGCCUAUAUUGGGGAUGUAUCAGGAGGAAAGGUGAUUCCUCAUAACAAGAGAAGUAAAAAGUCCACGAGGUCUCGUGCCCUAAAAUUAAUGGUGUCAGACAAAAUGCACAAACGUCACGCGAUUCGUGAAUACCUAGGUCUUCGGAUCUAACUUUGCUGCACUACUAUAUAUGUGCUGGAUGAAAGGUGAGUUGUAUCGAAAGAAGGUAGACUUCCGUGACCAACUUAUUGACUGGAUAAAUAUUACUGUCGCAGUUAUCGAAAAAUAUAAGGACGGUCUUCAAAGAAGUAGCCUAAACUGUCUUCGUGACCACUUCGAGAACCUCUUUCAUGUCACCAUUCCAUUCCGUCAUGGCUAAUCUUCAGGUGCAACAGACUGUAAGUGCAAUCAUAGCUGCUACAUUAAAGCUUGAUAUGUCAAAUUACGACAAAGUCAUGUCGCUCUAUCAGUAGUGGCUCAUGGGGUCUACUUAAGAGAUGACGUUU